GACGAACGCUGGCGGCGUGCUUAACACAUGCAAGUCGAACGGAAAGGCCCUGCUUUUGUGGGGUGCUCGAGUGGCGAACGGUGAGUAACACCUUGGUAACCUGCCCUUGACUUUGGGAUAACCUCCGGAAACUGGGGCUAAUACCGGAUAGGAGCUCCUGCUGCAUGGUGGGGGUUGGAAAGUUUCGGCGGUUGGGGAUGGACUCGCGGCUUAUCAGCUUGUUGGUGGGGUAGUGGCUUACCAAGGCUUUGACGGGUAGCCGGCCUGAGAGGGUGACCGGCCACAUUGGGACUGAGAUACGGCCCAGACUCCUACGGGAGGCAGCAGUGGGGAAUAUUGCACAAUGGGCGGAAGCCUGAUGCAGCAACGCCGCGUGCGGGAUGACGGCCUUCGGGUUGUAAACCGCUUUCGCCUGUGACGAAGCGUGAGUGACGGUAAUGGGUAAAGAAGCACCGGCUAACUACGUG
rnacentral:rRNA from 1 species